CAAAUAUAAUUAUGUACAUGGACAUAAGAAAAGGCUUACAUCUUAUACUAACAGAUUACUAUGAUAUAAGCAGUAAAUCCCAAGUAAUUGAGCCAUUUUUGUCAUGAUUUUAUGGAAAAGAUAAGGCUUAAUGACACCCAAAACAAAAAAAGAGAAUCUAAACUUUUAACACUUUCUAAUGUUAUUGGGAACUUUACAACUUACCAAAUCAGGAUUAAAAUUUAACAUUUACAACAAUUUUAUCACAG
rnacentral:misc_RNA from 1 species